rnacentral:rRNA from 1 species
AGAGUUUGAUCCUGGCUCAGAUUGAACGCUGGCGGCAUGCCUUACACAUGCAAGUCGAACGGCAGCAUGGAAGAGCUUGCUCUUCUGAUGGCGAGUGGCGAACGGGUGAGUAAAGCAUCGGAACGUACCGUGUAGUGGGGGAUAACGUAGCGAAAGUUACGCUAAUACCGCAUACGCACUGAGGUGGAAAGCAGGGGAUCGCAAGACCUUGCGCUAUACGAGCGGCCGAUGUCAGAUUAGCUAGUUGGUAGGGUAAAGGCCUACCAAGGCGACGAUCUGUAGCGGGUCUGAGAGGAUGAUCCGCCACACUGGGACUGAGACACGGCCCAGACUCCUACGGGAGGCAGCAGUGGGGAAUUUUGGACAAUGGGCGAAAGCCUG